AACUGAAUCUCGUUCCUCAGUUUCACUUACUAGCUAGCUAUAUCUGUGACUGCUUCUAGUAGACUCAUUAAAACAAUGAAUAUAACACUGUUAUUUAAACAUACCGCAUACCCCUACAUCAAGUUGCAAGAAGCCAUAUAGGAACACAUAACGCAGCUCAGUAAAUUGACCGCAAUAUGGGAUAACAUAGAGUAGUGCAGUAUUAUCAAUAUUACCGCAAUUUACCGUUAGUUCUCGAUAAACUACCGGAAGUGGUUUCUUAUAAUGUUGUAUGCAGGGAUUUAGUGAAUAUUACGUAGAGUAUUAUUUUAAAAAGGUUUCAGCAACUGUACCAGAAUAGCUAGGCUGAAUACCAAUUUGGGAAAAUUCACUUGACUGGGUUUCUAAUCAUAAACAUACGGUUAAUUGUAUCAAUAGAAGUUAUGAUUAAUAUUUUUCCGUAAAUACCCUUGGAAUUGUAUGACAUAUAUUGAUUUGCUAAGUAAAGCAAUAAGUAGCGUACUGCAAUUUUGCCGAUAUGAAAAACUGCACAUGUUUAUUACAUAAUUACUGCCAUUCGGAAGCGCCGUGUAAAGCGGAUUAUUUGAACCGG